rnacentral:rRNA from 1 species
UACGUAGGGUGCAAGCGUUAAUCGGAAUUACUGGGCGUAAAGCGUGCGCAGGCGGUGAUGUAAGACAGAUGUGAAAUCCCCGGGCUCAACCUGGGAAUUGCAUUUGUGACUGCACGGCUAGAGUGUGUCGAGAGGGGGGUAGAAUUCCACGUGUAGCAGUGAAAUGCGUAGAGAUGUGGAGGAAUACCGAUGGCGAAGGCAGCCCCCUGGGAUAACACUGACGCUCAUGCACGAAAGCGUGGGGAGCAAACAGG